AGAACGAACGCUGGCGGCAGGCCUAACACAUGCAAGUCGAACGCCCGUAGCAAUACGGGAGCGGCAGACGGGUGAGUAACGCGUGGGAACGUACCUUUCGGUUCGGAAUAACCCGGGGAAACUCGGGCUAAUACCGGAUACGUCCGCAAGGAGAAAGAUUUAUCGCCGAAAGAUCGGCCCGCGUCGGAUUAGCUAGUUGGCGGGGUAAUGGCCCACCAAGGCGACGAUCCGUAGCUGGUCUGAGAGGAUGAUCAGCCACACUGGGACUGAGACACGGCCCAGACUCCUACGGGAGGCAGCAGUGGGGAAUAUUGGACAAUGGGCGAAAGCCUGAUCCGGCCAUGCCGCGUGAGUGAAGAAGGCCUUAGGGUUGUAAAGCUCUUUCAGCGGGGAAGAUAAUGACGGUACCCGCAGGAAGAAGUCCGGACUAACUUCGCGCCAGCAGCCGC
rnacentral:rRNA from 1 species